UACCAGCACCCCGAGUGGUCGGGACGUUUAUUGGGCCUAAAGCAUCCGUAGCCGGUUCUACAAGUCUUCCGUUAAAUCCACCUGCUUAACAGAUGGGCUGCGGAAGAUACUAUAGAGCUAGGAGGCGGGAGAGGCAAGCGGUACUCGAUGGGUAGGGGUAAAAUCCGUUGAUCUAUUGAAGACCACCAGUGGCGAAGGCGGCUUGCCAGAACGCGCUCGACGGUGAGGGAUGAAAGCUGGGGGAGCAAACCGG
rnacentral:rRNA from 1 species